rnacentral:rRNA from 1 species
UACGUAGGCAGCGAGCGUUGUUCGGAGUUACUGGGCGUAAAGAGUGCGUAUGCGGUGUUCCAAGUCUGUUGUGAAAUCUCCCGGCUUAACUGGGAGGGUGCGGCGGAAACUGGGACGCUGGAGUACGGGAGAGGUAAGCGGAAUUCCUGGUGUAGCGGUGAAAUGCGUAGAUAUCAGGAGGAACACCUGCGGUGUAGACGGCUUACUGGACCGUAACUGACGCUGAGGCACGAAAGCGUGGGUAGCAAACAGG